rnacentral:rRNA from 1 species
UGGUUCGUGUCUGUGGGCGUACGGUGGAUGCCUGGGCACCAGAUGCUGAUGAAGGACGUGGGAGGCCGCGAUAGGCCUGGGGGAGUUGUCAACCGAACUGUGAUCCCAGGGUGUCCGAAUGGGGGAACCUGGCCGGGGUGAUGCCCGGUCACCGGUGUCUGAAGAGAUUAGGGCAUCGGGAGGCACGGGGGGAACUGAAACAUCUCAGUACCUCCAGGAAGAGAAAACAAGAGUGAUUCCCUGAGUAGUGGUGAGCGAACGGGGAUGAGGCUAAACCGGGUGCGUGGCAAGCCGGCAGGCGUUGCGUGCUCGGGGUUGUGGGAACAUGCCGGAUCCAUGCUGCCGUGUGGGUGCGGGUGCUGUGGCUUCAGCCGAAAGCGUUGGGAGGCGCUGGCGGAGUGGGUGAGACCCCCGUAGGCGAAGAGGUCGUGGUGGCUCGUGGGUGUGUGUCCCGAGUAGCGCGGGGCCCGUGGAAUCUCGUGUGAAUCGGCCAGGACCGCCUGGUAAGCCUAAAUACGUCUGGUGACCGAUAGUGGAUGUGUACCGUGAGGGACUGGUGAAAAGUACCCCGGGAGGGGAGUGAAAGAGUUCCUGAAACCGUGCGCCUGUAAUCCGUCAGAGCAUGCCCGUGUGGUGUGUGAUGGCGUGCCUUUUGAAGAAUGAGCCUGCGAGUUAGUGGUGCGUGGCGAGGUUAACCCGUGUGGGGGAGCCGGAGCGAAAGCGAGUCCGAAGAGGGCGGUGGAGUCGCGUGCUCUAGACCCGAAACCGAGUGAGCUACCCGUGGCCAGGGUGAAGCGCGGGUAAGACCGUGUGGAGGCCCGCACCCACCAGGGUUGAAAACCUGGGGGAUGAGCUGCGGGUAGGGGUGAAAGGCCAAUCAAACUCGGAGAUAGCUGGUUCUCCCCGAAAUGCAUUUAGGUGCAGCGUCACGUGGGUGCUCCGUGCUGGUAGAGCGACUGGAUGGCUGAUGGCCCAGUGUGGGUACUGACGUCAACUAAACUCCGAAUGGUGCGGAUGUGGACCGUGGCAGUGAGUCCCUGGGGGAAAAGCUCCAGGGUCGAGAGGGAAACAGCCCAGAUCACCGGCUAAGGCCCCGAAGUGUGUGCUGAGUGGAAAAGGAUGUGGGAUCGCCGAGACAACCAGGAGGUUGGCUUAGAAGCAGCCAUCCUUGAAAGAGUGCGUAACAGCUCACUGGUCAAGUGAUCCUGCGCCGAUAAUGUAGCGGGGCUUGUAAGCACACCGCCGAAGCCGUGGCGCCGGUCCCUGUGUGGGGCUGGUGGGUAGGGGAGCGUCCUGCACGCCGGUGAAGCAUCCUUGUGAAGGGGUGUGGAGGGUGUGGGAGUGAGAAUGCAGGCAUGAGUAGUGCAUGGACAGUGAGAAUCUGUCCCGCCGAAAGACCAAGGGUUCCAGGGGCAGGUUGAUCCGCCCUGGGUGAGUCGGAUCCUAAGGCGAGGCCGACAGGCGUAGUCGACAGGACAACGGGUUGAUAUUCCCGUACCCGCGUAUCCGCGUCCCAUACCAACCCCCGGGCAACGCAUGAUCAGCCGUGACCGCGGGUGGGAUUCGUCCCAUGCCGGGGUGAUGGUGGUUGUGGUUGGUGGGUGUGUUGGUCAGCGAUGGGGUGACGCAGAAGGGUAGCCCAGCCCGGGCGAUGGUUGUUCCCGGGGUAACGGUGUAGCACGACGGCCCAGGUAAAUCCGGGCGGUCGCGGUGUGAGACCGGAGGCCGAGCCAGUGUGGCGAAGUGGGUGAGCCCAGGCUGCCGAGAAAAGCCUCUAGCGAGGGGAUACGUGGUCCGUACCCGAAACCGACACAGGUGGUCUGGUAGAGCAUACCGAGGCGAGCGGGCGAACCGUGGUUAAGGAAUUCGGCAAAAUGUCCCCGUAACUUCGGGAGAAGGGGAGCCACGGCCGGUGAUCCCCCGGUGCGGGGUGAGCUGGUGGUGGCCGCAGAGAAUGGGCCCAAGCGACUGUUUACUAAAAACACAGGUCCGUGCGAAGUCGUAAGACGCGGUAUACGGACUGACGCCUGCCCGGUGCCGGAACGUUAAGGGGAGCCGUGAACCCACCUGGUGGGUGAGGCGGCGAACCGAAGCGCCGGUAAACGGCGGUGGUAACUAUAACCAUCCUAAGGUAGCGAAAUUCCUUGUCGGGUAAGUUCCGACCUGCACGAAUGGCGUAACGACUUGGGCGCUGUCUCGACCACGGACCCGACGAAAUUGCAUGACGAGUUAAGAUGCUCGUUUCGCGCGGCAGGACGGAAAGACCCCGGGACCUUUACUACAGCUUGGUAUGGGCGUCUGGUUCGGCUUGUGUAGGAUAGGUGGGAAACUGGGAACCUCGCACGCCAGUGCGCAGGGGAGUUGCUGGUGAAAUACCACUCUGGUCGUUCCGGGCGUCUAACCUCGGUCCGUGACCCGGACCAGGGACAGUGCCUGGUGGGUAGUUUAACUGGGGCGGUUGCCUCCUAAAUGGUAACGGAGGCGCCCAACGGUUCCCUCAGCCUGGACGGAAACCAGGCGGCGAGUGCAAGUGCACAAGGGAGCUUGACUGCGAGACUGACGGGUCGAGCAGGUGCGAAAGCAGGGACUAGUGAUCCGGCACCGGCAUGCGGAUGCGGUGUCGCUCAACGGAUAAAAGGUACCCCGGGGAUAACAGGCUGAUCUUGCCCAAGAGUCCAUAUCGACGGCAUGGUUUGGCACCUCGAUGUCGGCUCGUCGCAUCCUGGGGCUGAAGUGGGUCCCAAGGGUUGGGCUGUUCGCCCAUUAAAGCGGCACGCGAGCUGGGUUUAGAACGUCGUGAGACAGUUCGGUCCCUAUCCGCCGCGCGCGUAUGGAGACGUGCGGGGAGCUGUCCCCAGUACGAGAGGACCGGGACGGACGAACCUCUAGUGCGCCAGUUGUCCCGCCAGGGGCACGGCUGGUUGGCCACGUUCGGCAUGGAUAACCGCUGAAAGCAUCUAAGCGGGAAGCCCACCCCAAGAUGACGUCUCCCCCCACCAUGUGGGAUAAGGCCCCCAGCAGAUGACUGGGUCGAUAGGCCCGACAUGCACGCACAGCAAUGUGUUCAGUGGACGGGUACUAACCGGCCGAACGACGAACCCAC